rnacentral:lncRNA from 1 species
CUUCUCCACUCGCCUCCAGGAAUGGGUGUUGUAAAAGUCAAGUCAGCAUGUAUGAGAACACCAAUCUAUAAGAGUGUUCAACAAAGGAAGGCAUUGUUAUUUUACUAUCAUUAUUUUUACUACUUUAUGUUAUUUUGGAAAGAGCCAAGUCACCGAGGUGUCUUCUAUUAAAUCAAUUAGCCUGGAAGGAGAACUAAGCAAGAUGAGAAACUGAACGUAUCUGUGACUCUGCAAGCAGUCCCUGACGCUGUGGUGGGAUCCAGGCCUGGACGCUGUGGAUAAGGAAACCAGCAACAUGGGGACAGAUAAAAGUAAGAAGCAGGUUACCUUCGCUCUCUGGUUUUGGAACCACACCUGGACGACACGGACACUCAGCCCUGUCUCUGCAGCCAGAGUCUCUCUCACCUUGGAAAAAUUGAACGAGAAAUGUAGACACACUGGCAUCUCAGGGUAGGAGGUAGAACAUCUCCUAUAUAAUACUUGAGGAGGCCAAAAGACUGUAUCUGCUUUAGGAGCUGAAUAGUUUUUAAUGUUGAGCAUACACACAAACACGAGAACAUUGCUUCCCUUCAGGUAGAAAGAAAGUCCUUCACCAGGUAACUUUGGGUGUUUCAUGAAUAUCCAUAGUGACUGCUACCCCAAGUGAGCCCUGCCCAAAGAGAAUAAAAUGAGAGCCAUCUGGAACCCGGCAGAGCCAGGAAGUGUGGCCACAGGACUACAUUCUGGCCAACACAUAUGAGGAGAAAUGAUUUGAGCAACCCCUGGAUACAUCCUUAAAAAGCAGGGCGCUUGCCCUCCAUUUCCUCUUUCUCUACCUGGUGACUGGAAACAUGGUGACAACUGGAGCAGUCGCUUGGACACAGGAGAUGGAUAACAGAGCCACCCACCAGCCUUGCCUUGCUCACCUCUGGACUGUGACAGAAGAGAAUAAACUCCUGUCUCAUUAAA